UACGAAGGGGGCUAGCGUUGCUCGGAAUCACUGGGCGUAAAGGGUGCGUAGGCGGGUCUUUUAAGUCGGGGGUGAAAUCCUGGAGCUCAACUCCAGAACUGCCUUUGAUACUGAAGAUCUUGAGUUCGGGAGAGGUGAGUGGAACUGCGAGUGUAGAGGUGAAAUUCGUAGAUAUUCGCAAGAACACCAGUGGCGAAGGCGGCUCACUGGCCCGAUACUGACGCUGAGGCACGAAAAGCGUGGGGAGCAAACAGG
rnacentral:rRNA from 1 species